AUGUGGUCACUUUUACUUUAUUUAUUGAGUAAUGUUUCUAUAUAUAUAUAUUUUUUUAUUACCGUUCAUUCACGUGUAUUCAACGACUCAGAUUUAAUUUUUUUUAAAUUUAUGAUCUGCAAUAGCAUGUCGUUUUGGGAGAGGUACCGACAAAGUACCUCAAAAAAGGAUAUUUUUGUAUUUUAAUACAUGGGCAAUUUAGUUAUUUUACAUCUACUAUAUUUUCAUAAUUUUUAUUUUUUUUUUGUUCCUUUUUCUCUCUCUAUCUUUUCUUUCAUAAUUUGGCAUUUCAUAUAAGAAAAAUUUCAAAUGAUUUGACAAUAUAAUCAUUGAAUUUAAACUUUAAAUAGUAAUAUGAAAUUUCUCUAAUUUAAAUUUCACUUUUAAAUUUAAAUUUUAAUAUUAUAUUCAAAUUUAUAUUUUAAAAAUUUAAGUUUCAUAUAAAUACUUUGAAAUAUGGUAAACAGAAAUAAUUGUUUGAAUUCUAGUCUUCUGGUUUAGGUUUGGUUUUGAGUUUCGGAAUAUUGGUCAGUUUUGAAUUUGGAUAUGAAUUUUUGAAAUCCGUCGAGCUCGGAAAUAAAUUUUGUGAUUGUUAGUCAUAUUCGAAUUCAAAUUCCUAACUAUUUUUUUCUCACCAAUAAUUCUAAUCUUUUUAAUUUAUUUGUUUAAAAUUAUAUUUAAAAUAUUUAUUAGAUCUAACAGUUAAAUUAUCAUUCUAUUUAAAAUAUUUAUUAUCUUUACCGGUUCCAAAUUGUUCGUAAUGUUAUUCGGUUCAAUAGGUUAAAAUCAGAUUCUUGAUAGAAUAGGUCAAAGUCUGAUCAGUCAAAUCAAUCGGUUCAAUCUAGUUUUUAAAUCAUUGAAUUUAAAAUUUAAAUUGUAAUAUGAAAUUCCUCUAGAAAAAUUUAGUUGUAGAAAUCUUACUCUCUAAGUUUUUUAUGCAUUACGUUUUAAACUGGUGCGAAUAAACUGUAUUUUAAAUUUUGGUAGAAAUUUAGUUUUUAAAUAGUAAUAUGAAAUUCUCUAAUUUAAAUUUCACUUUUAAAUUUUAAGUAUUUAAUUUUUAAAAUUUAAAUUCAUCGUAUUUAGAAAUAAAACUAUUUCUAAAAUUUCUAUAAUUUAAAUUAAUGCAUAAUUUGAGAAACACUAAAACAUUUAAAGUAGAUUCUUAAAUUAAUGCCUAAUAAUUGCAUAAAUUUGAUUAAUCAAUUAAUUUUCUAAAUUAGUGCUAAUUAAUGCAUAAAUUAAGGACCUCAAUUAAAAUUUUCUUUAAAUAUUGUAUUUUUUAAUUACCAAACUAACCUUGAAUAAAAUAAUCUUUUUACCUGCUAAGUAUUAAAGUUAUAUUUUUACCCUCUAUUAAUCAACGAUUAAAAACUUUUUUAUUUUUUAUUUUUAAAAGUACCGAAUCAUUUCUCUCAUUUUUUUAAUAAACAAAACGACGCCCACACGUUUUAUUUUAUUUUAUAUU
rnacentral:lncRNA from 1 species